UACGUAGGGUGCAAGCGUUGUCCGGAAUUAUUGGGCGUAAAGAGCUCGUAGGCGGUCUGUCGCGUCGGCUGUGAAAUCCCGAGGCUCAACCUCGGGUCUGCAGUCGAUACGGGCAAACUGGAGUGUUGCAGGGGAGACUGGAAUUCCUGGUGUAGCGGUGAAAUGCGCAGAUAUCAGGAGGAACACCGGUGGCGAAGGCGGGUCUCUGGGCAACAACUGACGCUGAGGAGCGAAAGCUGGGGGAGCGAACAGG
rnacentral:rRNA from 1 species